AGAAUCAACGCUGGCGGCGUGCCUAACACAUGCAAGUCGAACGAGAAAGUGGAGCAAUCCAUGAGUAAAGUGGCGCACGGGUGAGUAACACGUGACUAACCUACCCUGGAGUGGGGGAUAACUGAGGGAAACCUUAGCUAAUACCGCAUAAUACCCACGGGUCAAAGGAGCAAUUCGCUCUAGGAGGGGGUCGCGGCAGAUUAGCUAGUUGGCGGGGUAAUGGCCCACCAAGGCAGUGAUCUGUAUCCGGCCUGAGAGGGCGCACGGACACACUGGAACUGAAACACGGUCCAGACUCCUACGGGAGGCAGCAGUGGGAAUUUUGCGCAAUGGGGGAAACCCUGACGCAGCAACGCCGCGUGGAGGAUGAAGUCCCUUGGGACGUAAACUCCUUUCGAUCGGGACGAUUAUGACGGUACCGGAAGAAGAAGCCCCGGCUAACUUCGUGCCAGCAGCCGC
rnacentral:rRNA from 1 species